rnacentral:rRNA from 1 species
UACGUAGGGGGGCUAGCGUUGUCCGGAAUCAUUGGGCGUAAAGAGCGUGUAGGCGGUCCGGUAAGUCCGCUGUGAAAGUCGGGGGCUCAACCCUCGAAUGCCGGUGGAUACUGUCGGGCUAGAGUGCGGAAGAGGCGAGUGGAAGUUCCUGGGUGUAGCGGUGAAAUGACGCAGAUAUCAGGAGGAACACCAAUGGCGAAGGCAAUCCCCUGGGCCUGCACUGACGCUCAUGCACGAAAGCGUGGGGAGCAAACAGG